rnacentral:rRNA from 1 species
CCUAAGGUAGCGAAAUUCCUUGUCGGGUAAGUUCCGACCCGCACGAAUGGUGUAAUGAUCUGGACACUGUCUCAACAACGCACCCGGCGAAAUUGUAGUACCGGUGAAGAUGCCGGUUACCCGCGGCAAGACGGAAAGACCCCAUGGAGCUUUACUGUAACUUAAUAUUGGGUCUCGGUACUUUAUGUACAGGAUAGGCGGGAGACUUGGAAACUAGCACGCCAGUGUUAGCGGAGUCAUCCUUGGGAUACCGCUCUUAAGGUAUUGAGAUUCUAACCUGCAGCCUUGAAUCAGGUUGGGGGACAUUGUUAGGUGGGCAGUUUGACUGGGGCGGUCGCCUCCAAAAGAGUAACGGAGGCGCUCAAAGGUUGGCUCAGCAUGGACGGAAACCAUGCUCUUGAGUGUAAACGCAAAAGCCAGCCUAACUGCGAGACUGACGGGUCGAGCAGUAACGAAAGUUGGAGUUAGUGAUCCGGCGGUAUGUGAAUGGAAAUGCCGUCGCUCAACGGAUAAAAGCUACCCUGGGGAUAACAGGCUGAUCUCCCCCAAGAGUCCACAUCGACGGGGAGGUUUGGCACCUCGAUGUCGGCUCAUCGCAUCCUGGGGCUGUAUUCGGUCCCAAGGGUUUGGCUGUUCGCCAAUUAAAGCGGUACGCGAGCUGGGUUCAGAACGUCGUGAGACAGUUCGGUCCCUAUCUGUCGUGGGCGUAGGAUAUUUGAGGAGCGCUGUUCCUAGUACGAGAGGACCGGAAUGGACGCACCGCUGGUGUAUCGGUUGUCAUGCCAAUGGCACGGCCGAGCAGCUAUGUGCGGAUCGGAUAAACGCUGAAAGCAUCUAAGCGUGAAGCCGUCUCCAAGAUAAGAUAUCCCACUGUUUACAGUUAAGACCCCUUGUAGACUACGAGGUUGAUAGGUUGGAUGUGUAAGUACAGCGAUGUAUUUAGCUAGCCAAUACUAAUAGGUCGAGGGCUUGACCU